rnacentral:rRNA from 1 species
CGUGUGUGAAGAAGGCCUUCGGGUUGUAAAGCUCUGUUAAUCGGGACGAAAGGCCUUCUUGCGAAUAGUGAGAAGGAUUGACGGUACCGGAAUAGAAAGCCACGGCUAACUACGUGCCAGCAGCCGCGGUAAUACGUAGGUGGCAAGCGUUGUCCGGAAUUAUUGGGCGUAAAGCGCGCGCAGGCGGAUCAGUCAGUCUGUCUUAAAAGUUCGGGGCUUAACCCCGUGAUGGGAUGGAAACUGCCAAUCUAGAGUAUCGGAGAGGAAAGUGGAAUUCCUAGU